rnacentral:rRNA from 1 species
UUGCGUAGGUGGUUAUAUAAGUGAAUAGUGAAAUCUGGCGGCUCAACCGUACAGGCUAUUAUUCAAACUGUAUAACUCGAGAAUGGUAGAGGUAACUGGAAUUUCUUGUGUAGGAGUGAAAUCCGUAGAUAUAAGAAGGAACACCAAUGGCGUAGGCAGGUUACUGGACCAUUUCUGACACUGAGGCACGAAAGCGUGGGGAGCGAACC